UGAGGAAUAUUGGUCAAUGGCCGGAAGGCUGAACCAGCCGUGCCGCGUGAAGGUCAGUGCCCUAUGGGCGUUAAACUUCUUUUGUCAGGGAGCAAUAAGGGUUUCGUGAAAUCCGAUGAGAGUACCUGACGAAAAAGCAUCGGCUAACUCCGUGCCAGCAGCCGCGGUAAUACGGAGGAUGCGAGCGUUAUCCGGAUUUAUUGGGUUUAAAGGGUGCGCAGGCGGCGCGCCAAGUCAGCGGUCAGAGUUCCGGGCUCAACCCGGUGUCGCCGUUGAAACUGGCGUGCUCGAGUGCGUGCGAGGAAGGCGGAAUGCGUUGUGUAGCGGUGAAAUGCAUAGAUAUGACGCAGAACUCCGAUUGCGAAGGCAGCUUUCCAGCGCGCUACUGACGCUGAGGCACGAAAGCGUGGGGAUCGAACAGGAUUAGAUACCCUGGUAGU
rnacentral:rRNA from 1 species